AAAUAUCAAUUAAUUUCUAAACCCUAAUUCGGGGUCCUUUGUUCUAUAUAUAAUCGGCGGAAGCCAUGAACCCUAGACGUCGCGCCCCUGUAAUUCUCUUCAUGCGAAUGCCUUUGGGUCCUUCUUAGUUCUUACUUCUCGUCUGGUAAUUCAGUAUUUUUUAGUUUUGAUUGGUUGUUUGUUUGCUGAAGAAGAUCUUUGUCGAUGGUUAUGCCGUCGUUGCAUUGAAUUUUCUCUUACUUUCGUUUUAUUUGUGUAAAAUUAAUGCCUGUGAUCAUGAUGAGAUUAAAUAUACUUUGAGAGUUAUUUCUAUGAAAUUAAUUUAAUCCUAGGCAGUCAGGAAAAAUUUUUUUUGAUCUCGCUCUUCUUGGUACUAAAAUUUUUGCCUGUAAUUAGAUACUAAAAUUUUCUUGGUAGAUCGCUUUCUGUCAUGGAACUUGCUUAUAGUAGCUGGUGUGUGAUAAUAGGUGUCUAUUAUAAAGCUUUUCUAUGCAAGUGAUGAGAAAAUAGACAGGGACAUCAGUACUCUAUACGAGAAUGUUGACUCAGUCUUUGGGAAUCUCUCUGAUGCUUGAUGCAUAUAGGAAAUCAGCAAGCUUUAGUAGUUGAACAUCUAAAUUUGUAUAUUAAAGUCUGUUUAAUGCUGUAGUUUCUGUUUUUUUUUUAUCUUUACUUGUCAAUUCCUUAUACAAAUUAUUGUCUUUACCAGAUGCUCUACUUUUGCAAACUCCUAGUGGUUUUUGAUGUGAUUGAAACUGCUUAAUUUUUCUUAGCUAAUUCAGCUCUUUUGAGAAUUACCGUUCUUAUGAUUCUUGUUGCCUUUUAGAAUUUAUCGUUUAAAUUAUGAUCAUAUUAGUUAACAGAUUUUGGCUUUAUAUUUUUUUUUUCAACAAGGUGUAGUUUACAUUUUCUUGUCAACAAGGUAUAGUUUGUGCAAGUGACGAUAAAUCAGACAGGGACAUCAGAACUCUGCUUGAUUAUGAUGAGUUGUCUUUGGGAAUCUCUCUGAUGCACAUGACAUUGCAUUCGGCUUUCUCUUACCUUUAUCAGUUGCUUAUGUUUCUGUUUCAUGCAUUAUUGUAUAUUUAUCCCAAUUUCUGGUAUAAUAGAAUUUUUCUGUAGGCCAGUGAUGCAAUUCAUUGCACGUAUUAUCAGAUAACUAACGAUGAUACCUUAUUGUCACUACCUCUGAGGCCUCAGAUAGAAGUUUUUACUUUUUUUCUUCUUUCUUUACUUAUAAUCAAUUAUUUCCUUUUUCUAUGGACUAUUUUGACACUACAAAAGUUUUGGGUCACUAAAUCUACAUUGAAGUUUGAAGUAUAGCAGUUGUUGUUGUUUAUACCUCCAUGACAAUAACUUGCAGUUUUGUAUUUCCUUGCCCUUUGGCGGGUGUUUGCAUUGGUUUAAUCUUUAUUCUUCCUUUUUCUUAUGUCAUGUUGGAUUAUUGUUUCCGAAUUCAAUUAGACAGCCUUGUGAUUAUCCCAUAAGAACGGAGAUUUGAAUGGUGUUAUUGUAGUAGCCUAAGUACAAUUGGGCUCCAAAAGCAUUCCGUGUAAUAAUUUCUCAAGUUGAAUAUGAAGGCUUGCAUUCUGGACUAGUGUUUGUUUAUUGAUGUCCAGGUAUAUUCUGGAAUAUAUAGGGUCAUUAUUUCAACUGGGUUCUGAUUAUUACAGUUUUAAGUGAGCUUUUGAAAAUUGCUUUAGAGAAUUAUUUUACUUUUCUAAAGCAAUUUUACUGUGAAAUUAUAUAAAUUGUCUCUUCUUGGCUGUUAUGAUUAUUUUUUAAUGAUUAGAUUAUUACUUUGUUGGGUGUCAAUUUUUUAUGGUUGGUUUGAAGAAAGUAGUGUUCAUUUGAUAUGGUAUGCCAAAGGUCCUAGUGGUUGAGAGAAAGUGAUGCGCAGCUCAUAGAUACUAUGAUAUUAUUCAUGUAUCACAAGGAAAUUCAAAGCUGGAGGAGCAAUAUGUAGACACAGAGACCCCCUUGACACUAAGGUUUGGAGGCAUUGUGAAUUUAUUUAUCCCCAGAUGGAAAUUAGGGAGAGAAAUAGAGAGCUCCUUAAGGCUUCACUCUCUUUAUGUAGGAUGAGGUUUAGGGAACUUUAUCAGUUCUUGUCUUCUACUUGGGUCCUCAGGAUCUACGUUUGAGUACUGUGGACAUGCGAUAAGUGAAGCAUUCUUGGUGAAGCAUAUGUGAAUCUCUCUCAAUUGCACAGUUCCAUGAAAAUCUCUAUUGCAAAAAAUUUGUGCUGGUACUCCCAGUGGUUGAAUGCUUGUGCAUUCAUUAUUUAGUUCAAAGGGAGGAACAUCGUCAUUAGGCCAAUACAUUGGCCAUAGACCAUGGAUGACGAAAUGUUCUUUAGUUGGAAACCGACACCUAACAGUGCGAGUGUUACAAUAUGAUUGAGGCCAUCGCAAGCUCAAUUUUACGAAAUCAAAUGGAUGCAGACUCUGCACUUUUGGAUUGAGUGCUGAGAAUGUGAGUAUGUUCACAACAAAUGAAGUAAUUGCAUUCUCAAAUGACAAUUUUCUGGCUAUUGAUUCUAAACAAACAAGAAAACAGAACUCUUAAACUGGUGCGUUGGUUUGUGUUAAUGGGGUUUGUUUUAUAGCACCAGAGUUGCAAUUAAAGCACAUUACCUUUCUGUGUUUAAUUAUAUUAAACCUCGAGUGCAUCACAUUUGGGACAAUAA